rnacentral:rRNA from 1 species
UACGGAGGGUGCAAGCGUUGUUCGGAAUCAUUGGGCGUAAAGCGCGUGUAGGCGGCUUGGCAAGUCAGUUGUGAAAGCCCGGGACCCAACCCCGGAACUGCAUCUGAAACUGCUUGGCUCGAGUCCCGGAGAGGAAGGCAGAAUUCCCGGUGUAGGGGUGAAAUCCGUAGAUAUCGGGAGGAAUACCAGCGGCGAAGGCGGCCUUCUGGACGGUGACUGACGCUGAGACGCGAAAGCGUGGGGAGCAAACAGG